rnacentral:lncRNA from 1 species
AUCUCUCCUCACCCCCUCUGCUAAUCUCUCACACUCUCUCCCGUACAUAUCUCCUCCAUUCCUCUUCCACCUUUGUUCCCCGUUCUUUUCUUUUCCCCCGAAACCCGCCGCCGCCGCUGUUCAAACUCCGGCCAGUCGCCGGCACCACCACUGUGUUGUUUCUUCUGAUUAAUUCACCCGCGAUUCUUCGAGUUCCUAGGCAAUCCAGACGCAGGCUUGCUGUUUUCGGACGAAUCCAGCCCUGUUCUUCAGCCUCCAGUGUUGUGUUAGCGCGGUAUAACCCAGUCUCGUGUAUAUAAUUCGAUUAUUAUGAUUUUGGUUAUUUGGGUCGGAUUGAGUUGUUGAUUGGAUGCUUAAAUUCGGAUUAAUGUUAGUUAAUUUCUACUAAUAUUAAUACUUAAAAUCAGGAUUGUGUCUAUAAUUAGCCGGUUGUUAUAUGUGUGUAUUAUACGUGCUUGUUAAAUGUGAAUUUGUAUAUGAGACUCGGAUAUAAUUUUGUGUUGGUAGUAACUAUCGGGACCACUAAGUUAUUUUAAUUUAAUUGUUGAUUGAUGUUUGAUUUGGAUUGUUGGGUUUACAAGUUAGUAAUUAUCUUACGAGGAUUAGAAGUAAAAUUUUGAUGAUACAUCUAUGUAUGCCUCGACUUUUCGGGUAUAUGUGUUUAUAUUAUUAAAAUUUAUAUUUUUAUAAUGUGAUAAUUGAUUAUUAACUUUUCGUGCCUAGUUGAUCCUGUAAGUCUUAUUAAACGUAUUUUAUGUAUAGUAAAUUAGCAAUCCUGCUAAAAGUUUUCUUAUGUGUUUACUACAAGUCAAGGCGGAUUUUCUUAUGUGUUAUGUGUUUACUGCAAGUCAAGGCAGCUCUUUUCAUGUAUUAAGCCAUAUUAGUGGCUAUUCUUGGUAUUGAAAACAGGUGGAUAGUCCUAUAAACAGAGGAGGUGCUGCCGAAAUUUUGUUAGAAAUUAUAUGCAUUUAGACUAUUUAAAGGUGUUUGAUAGAUAAUAAGUAGAGACAAUAAUAUUGGUAUACAUGUCUACGUGAUACGUGAUCACUAGUAAUCUUUAAUAAUUAUAAAAGUAUUUCUUGGUUGACUAAGUUCUAUGUGUUUGGCUGAAAUUUAUGUUUAUAUAAACGAAGGGUAGUGAUUAAGUGAUAUUGAGGAUAUGACUUUGGAUUCAAAUAGUUAAGACCCAGUCUUCUAUCCUGUAGGUUCCGGUUAGAGAGCCUAACAGUAUAGUGCAGUCUUAUCUCUAGCAUUCUAUUAUCAAGGCAAGUAUUUCUACCCUACUUCUCUAGUACCUAUAGAUACUAAAACCUUCUUUAUAUCAUGAUUCAAAUUAUUUGCAAUUACUCUCUUGUGAAGCAUAUCUAGUAUUUCCAAACUUUUUGGUUGAACGGAUAACACUUUUGGUAUCGACUCUACACUAUUAUAUGUAUAAAGAAAUUGUUUUAACAAAAUGUUAUUUUGGCUCUUGAAUUACAUGAUGGAACUGCAGAUUGUUCUAAAAAUUAAACUAUUGGGUUGUUUUUGCGUAAGAGGCUCGGGCACCGGCCCAGCGUGAAAGGUGGCUCCUUAAGCCCGGAUUACCGGAAUUCGUAAUAUUUGUCAACCUUGCUGAAUAAGCUUGGUUUAUGGACUAUAGCAUGACUGAUCAUCUGUUAUAGCCAGGUGUCCAAUGAUUUUUAAAGCCCAAUAAAAUUGUGAAUAGUUUAAAAAGAAGUUAUCCUGCCUUCAAGAGAUAUUUGCUUAUACAUUCAUUUCUGCAGUUUUAAAUAUUUUCACUUCUUUAUUAUGGCAUUGCUGUACAACAAAUAUCAAUUUCAUUUUGUUAUACUUGCUGAGCAUUUCUUUGGCUCAUACCUGUUUAUUUUCAAACUAACCCCUUUCAGAUGCCAAGGAUUAGAGCAGCUGCUUAUAAGGUUUCCCAGAGUUAUCUUUUGUGCUAGGAAAAUCGCAGGAUGAUGCUAGGAGUCUUGGACUAAGUGUGGAUUAGUUAGUACGACUUGUUUCUUUGAAGUUGUAUUAUAGUGUCAGUAUGGUUGUAGUGGAAAACUCAUGUAGUAAGGAACCUAUGUCGUUGUUCGUUUGCAGUAACAGUUUAAACCUUUCG